rnacentral:rRNA from 1 species
AGAGUUUGAUCAUGGCUCAGAUUGAACGCUGGCGGCAGGCCUAACACAUGCAAGUCGAACGGUAACAGGAAACAGCUUGCUGUUUCGCUGACGAGUGGCGGACGGGUGAGUAAUGUCUGGGAAACUGCCUGAUGGAGGGGGAUAACUACUGGAAACGGUAGCUAAUACCGCAUAACGUCGCAAGACCAAAGAGGGGGACCCUCGGGCCUCUUGCCAUCGGAUGUGCCCAGAUGGGAUUAGCUUGUUGGUGGGGUAACGGCUCACCAAGGCGACGAUCCCUAGCUGGUCUGAGAGGAUGACCAGCCACACUGGAACUGAGACACGGUCCAGACUCCUACGGGAGGCAGCAGUGGGGAAUAUUGCACAAUGGGCGCAAGCCUGAUGCAGCCAUGCCGCGUGUAUGAAGAAGGCCUUCGGGUUGUAAAGUACUUUCAGCGGGGAGGAAGGGAGUAAAGUUAAUACCUUUGCUCAUUGACGUUACCCGCAGAAGAAGCACCGGCUAACUCCGUGCCAACAGCCGCGGUAAUACGGAGGGUGCAAGCGUUAAUCGGAAUUACUGGGCGUAAAGCGCACGCAGGCGGUUUGUUAAGUCAGAUGUGAAAUCCCCGGGCUCAACCUGGGAACUGCAUCUGAUACUGGCAAGCUUGAGUCUCGUAGAGGGGGGUAGAAUUCCAGGUGUAGCGGUGAAAUGCGUAGAGAUCUGGAGGAAUACCGGUGGCGAAGGCGGCCCCCUGGACGAAGACUGACGCUCAGGUGCGAAAGCGUGGGGAGCAAACAGGAUUAGAUACCCUGGUAGUCCACGCCGUAAACGAUGUCGACUUGGAGGUUGUGCCCUUGAGGCGUGGCUUCCGGAGCUAACGCGUUAAGUCGACCGCCUGGGGAGUACGGCCGCAAGGUUAAAACUCAAAUGAAUUGACGGGGGCCCGCACAAGCGGUGGAGCAUGUGGUUUAAUUCGAUGCAACGCGAAGAACCUUACCUGGUCUUGACAUCCACGGAAGUUUUCAGAGAUGAGAAUGUGCCUUCGGGAACCGUGAGACAGGUGCUGCAUGGCUGUCGUCAGCUCGUGUUGUGAAAUGUUGGGUUAAGUCCCGCAACGAGCGCAACCCUUAUCCUUUGUUGCCAGCGGUCCGGCCGGGAACUCAAAGGAGACUGCCAGUGAUAAACUGGAGGAAGGUGGGGGUGACGUCAAGUCAUCAUGGCCCUUACGACCAGGGCUACACACGUGCUACAAUGGCGCAUACAAAGAGAAGCGACCUCGCGAGAGCAAGCGGACCUCAUAAAGUGCGUCGUAGUCCGGAUUGGAGUCUGCAACUCGACUCCAUGAAGUCGGAAUCGCUAGUAAUCGUGGAUCAGAAUGCCACGGUGAAUACGUUCCCGGGCCUUGUACACACCGCCCGUCACACCAUGGGAGUGGGUUGCAAAGAAGUAGGUAGCUUAACCUUCGGGAGGGCGCUUACCACUUUGUGAUUCAUGACUGGGGUGAAGUCGAAACAAGGUA